GUGCUCGCUUCGGCAGCAUAUAUACUAAAAUUGGGACCAUACAGAGAAGAUUAGCAUGGUCCCUGCACAAGGAUGACGCACAAAUCCAUGUAGCAUUCCAGAUUUUU
ensembl:snRNA U6 U6 spliceosomal RNA